rnacentral:rRNA from 1 species
UACAGAGGUCUCAAGCGUUGUUCGGAUUUACUGGGCGUAAAGAGCGCGCAGGCGGUCGUUCAAGUCGCGUGUGAAAGCCCCGGGCUUAACCUGGGAACUGCGUUUGAUACGGAUGGGCUAGAGUUCGGGAGAGGAGAGUGGAAUUCCCAGUGUAGAGGUGAAAUUCGUAGAUAUUGGGAAGAACACCGGUGGCGAAGGCGGCUCUCUGGACCGAGACUGACGCUGAGGCGCGAAAGCGUGGGGAGCAAACAGG